UGAGAGACUGUUGAGAUUGAUGAGAAGUUGAUGAAGAGAGAAAAUGAGAGACUGGUGAAGUUGAUGAGAAGUUGAUGAAGAGAGAAAAUGAGAGACUGCUGAAGUUGAUGAGAAGUUGAUGAAGAGAGAAAAUGAGAGACUGCAGAGAUUGAUGAGAAGUUGAUGAAGAGAGAAAAUAAGAGACUGCAGAGGUUGAUGAGAAGUUGAUGAAGAGAGAAAAUAAGAGACUGCUGAGGUUGAUGAGAAGUUGAUGAAGAGAGAAAAUGAGAGACUGCAGAGGUUGAUGAGAAGUUGAUGAAGAGAGAAAAUGAGAGACUGCUGAGGUUGAUGAGAAGUUGAUGAAGAGAGAAAAUAAGAGACUGCUGAGGUUGAUGAGAAGUUGAUGAAGAGAGAAAAUAAGAGACUGCUGAGGUUGAUGAGAAGUUGAUGAAGAGAGAAAAUAAGAGACUGCUGAAGUUGAUGAGAAGUUGAUGAAAAGAGAAAAUAAGAGACUGGUGAAGUUGAUGAGAAGUUGAUGAAGAGAGAAAAUAAGAGGCUGCUGAAGUUGAUUAGAAGUUGAUGAAGAGACAACAUAAAGAGACUGCUGAGGUUGAUUAGAAGUUGAUGAAGAGAGAAAUGAGAGACUGUUGAGAUUAUUGAGAGGUUGAAAAUUUAAGAGAGAGGAAGAGACUGCUAUGACUAGGGGGUUUGGGGCUUACAUGAGGCAGAACACAUGGAACAAAAUUGAUCUUAAAGGAAAUUGAUACAAGUACUCGGAACACUGGAGGUCAAGGAAUAAGAAUCUGACUGGGUGCUUACCAUAUGCUGCUCCACAUAACCUUCGUGUUUGUGUCUUGAAGUUAAAAAAGAGGAGUAAUAUGUAAAACAACUAUACAUAUGUUGUUGCCAGUCUUCAUAUAGCUGCCCAUUGCUUUAUAAAUUUUCCUAUAAACAAAAUAUGGAGAUAAAAACUUAAAACUAAAAAAUGGAUUCCAGGAACUUUAUUUUGCAUUAGUUGUGUCCACUCCUCAGUCUGACUCACAGGAAAAUGAUAUUGCUUAUGACUUGCAAAAAUUAAUAUGAGGUGACUCACAUGCUUCCAGGUAAGAUCGUUCCCCUUAUUGGCAUUGAUAAGUUAAAAGCAAAUGUCAACACCCACCUGUCAACUCAUUGUUUUCGUCCCUCUCUCCUUUUUUUUACCUCAAAGGCUGCGGCUCAAGGGCAACAAAGAGUACCAAAAAAAUAAAAAGCCCGCUACUCGCCGCUCCCACAAAAGUAAAAAGUAAAGAGUAGCCAAAAGAGAGGUCAAUUUCACUUUUACUUUUCCUAU